ensembl:lncRNA
UUAGGGUUAUAUUUUUUUUUAUUAGACAUUGUUAUGGCUCUGAGCCAGUUCUCAGAAUAUAAAAAAGACAGAUGUAUAAUGCCAGAAAUGUUUUAUUUUAUUGAUUUAAGCAAACCACAAUGUUAAGAGAAGCUCAAUGCAAGAAAAGUGUCUUGUUGGCAAAAAACAAAUGUGCGAUCACAUGGUCAAACAGAAGGUCAUUAUGACAUCACAAUAUUCCACACAGGAAGGUUCUGUUGUGGUACUGUUGUACCGGCUCUCUCCUAUGAACAGUGCUAUUAUGACAUCACAAUAUUCCAUACAGGAAGGUUCUGUUGUGGUACUGUUGUACCGGCUCUCUCCUAUGAACAAUGCUAUUAUUAUACUUAAGCUAAAAAUUAUACUUUUCUGAUAUUAACCAAAUUCAACAAUGUUUGAGCCCAAGCAUGUCUUUUUUUGGUUUCAAAAUGUCAUGAAAUGAACCUGGAAUCUGACACUCAGGAAAUAAUGUUUUCACGAGAUUCGUCCGCCAAUCAAAUAUGUGUUAAAAAUGCCCUUUGGGCCAGUUUUUCAUUUAUAUUUUCAGUGAAUCAUUUCAAAAACGGUCUUUUACUUUUGGACAAUUAAUUUUUUCUUGUAAAUCAGACUCCAGCAGAUAUUUCCACCUGUUGGUCCUCUGAAAUAUUACAUUUGUUUAAAUAUAAUACUUCUUGUCACAGUAAGAAUUGAUGAAAAGUGUCUUGACCUCAGCAUGUUAAUGAAACUUUGUUGUCGGAUUUGAUGGGUUUUGCCUCUUUUGAUAGAGUAAGUUUCCAGCUGCUUCCAAGAGGUUACGCUCAUUAAUUAACUUUAGUUGGUUUAGUUGGUUAGUGGAGUGUUGUGGAAUCAUUUAUCAACCUCAUUAGAAUUUAGGUGAAAUGAAAACAAGGAUUUGUAAAAAUGUCAGAAGGCUCAUUUCAUGAUAUUCUGUUAGGUCAGUUUUUUGGCAUUUCUUUAAGUAUGUGUUCCUUGUAACCUUCUAUGGUCUCCUCACAGUUCUCUCCGUAGUGCCCUUUCUCACACUCACACACUGCUACGAACGUGUUUUUCAAAAGAACACAUUUGCCUUUUCUACCACAGUCAAUUUUGGUGCAAGGAGACUUUUUUUCCAUCUCUUCAUCACUUUUAAUCAGAACUCCAAAGUGUCCAACCUUAAACAAAUUUUUCAUUUUUCCUAUUAAGUAUUUUGUACACGUUCCUAUAUAAAUGUAGGGUGUUUCAGGGUUAUCAGGUGGGUUAGCAGAUGGGUUAGCAGAUGGGUUAGCAGAUGGGUUAUCAGAGGGGUUAUCAGAGGGGUUAUCAGAGUCUAUGUCAUCCUCUGGUGCUUCUUCUGCUUCUUCUGCUUCUUCUGCAUCCUUCGCAGCUACACUGCCAGCGUUUUUGUUUUUAAAGGCAUGAACGGCUGAAUAAGUCUCUUUUAGUGGAAUUUUAUCCACAUAUUCCUUACAGUUGCUGAGCUGCUCUAUAACUUCAUGACACUUUGUUUUUUUGGUAAUGCACUUCUCUAUGGCUUUUUUUACCUUAUCAGCCUUGGUGUGAGCCCCUUUGACCUGUCUGGCUGCAGCCACAGUAAUGCCCACUGUUUUCACCUCAAUAAAUGUUUCAGAUAAAAAGUGAGUGUUUCGAUACGUUUGCUUUUCAUGUUUGGGGUUUUGGAAGGCAACAACUAUCCAGUUAUACCUGUCAAACAUUUUUUCCAAAAACAACCUGAUUGUCUUUGCUAAUGGUUUCUUUUUUUGUUCGAUUUUAGUAAUCUGCUCCUGAAUGUCCAGUUUAAUGUAUUUAUCAGCAUCAGAAAUGCAUUUUUUGUGAAUGUCGAACAUUACUACUGCAGAAUCAUAUGCGUUUUCAGCUAGCUCACUUACUCGGUCAAUCUUUUUGAGGCCAUAUAUGAAAUGACUGACGGUGUUGGCCUUGUGUACAAGACUAUAAAUCAGCAUAGUGAAGUCUUUGAUCUUCUUUUCAUGACAUCUAACAUGGGCACUCAGUAGUCCUCCAAACUCAGUCCCGAAAGAAACUUUGUUAUCUUUCUUUUUAAAAGCUUGAAGCAUCUCUUUAGUGUCGCGUGCAAUAAACUCAUAGUUUUUUUUGAAAUUCUUUUCAAGAGUAUCCCUUUUUUCUUUGUCUGAGUUAGUACACUCAAUCAGAUGAUUUUUUAAAGCCUCCCAGGCUACCACGAAUUUCUUCUCAUAUGCAUAGUAACUGGUUGCCCAGAUAUCCCAUUUAGUCUCCAGUUGUUGUUUGUCAAGCUUUACAUUUAGAUUUUCAAAUUCUUUCUUGAUCAAUUCAGUUUCAUCUCUAGGAUUGGCUAACGAAGCUGCUGCUGCAAAAUGAAAAAUAAGAUUCAUAUAAGGUCCAGCAACCGGUAUGAGCCCAAUAAAAGGUCCCACUGCCUUUCCAACCUUCUCAAUGUAAUCUACAGCAGUAAAGAAACGCUCUGUCUUUUUGCCCCUCUUCUGUAGAGAGUGGGCGCCCGGCUGGC